AUUGAACGCUGGCGGCAUGCUUUACACAUGCAAGUCGAACGGUAACAGGCCGCAAGGUGCUGACGAGUGGCGAACAGGUGAGUAAUGCAUCGGAACGUGCCCAGUCGUGGGGGAUAACGCAGCGAAAGCUGCGCUAAUACCGCAUACGAUCUAUGGAUGAAAGCGGGGGACCGUAAGGCCUCGCGCGAUUGGAGCGGCGGAUGUCAGAUUAGGUAGUGGGUGGGGUAAAGGCUCACCAAGCCAACGAUCUGUAGCGGGUCUGAGAGGACGACCAGCCACACUGGGACUGAGCAACGGCCCAGCCUCCUACGGGAGGCAGCAGUGGGGAAUUUUGGACAAUGGGCGCAAGCCUGAUCCAGCAAUGCCGGUUGCAGGAAGAAGGCCUUCGGGUUGUAAACUGCUUUUGUCCGGAACGAAACGGUCCUGGUUAAUACCUGGGGCUAAUGCCGGUACCGUAAGAAUAAGCACCGGCUAACUACGUGCCAGCCGCCGCGUAACAC
rnacentral:rRNA from 1 species